rnacentral:lncRNA from 1 species
GGAGCUAAGGUGAGGUAAAUAUGGUUCAAUGGCUAAUUCAGUAUCACCCUUACUCAGUAUACACAUUCAGUACAGCUACAACCAAUCCUUUAUUCCCCCGCUUUCAAUGGGGUGCAUCUUUUCUUUGAUUUUUGGCAAUAAUUUUCAUUCAUUUUUUUUUUUUGUGCCCAGACUUUCUUUCUUUUCUCUUGUUCCUUGUUUAACAUUUUAUGC